rnacentral:lncRNA from 1 species
GUCUUUGCCUUGACCUCCCUUAUUGCUCUGUAUGUGCCACGUUCUUCAUCGCUGUGCAAUUUUAUUGCUUCACUGUGAGUUAACCAGUCUUGAAAUAAAGAGUAAUGAGAUUGACACUGUAUUCAUGUGUUUUCCAUAGUUUCUGCUUAUUGCUGUCUCUGUCUAAUGUCUGUGCAGGUACCACUCUAUCACCCUGCUGAAAUUCAUGGCACUGAUCACAGACUUCUUUGGAGGGAAAGCUCAAAUGCUGGCUGCUCUGUCUGGACAGCAAGUAUCUCCAGAUCCUUUCCCCUGUUGCUGCUGUUGCUGUCUCCCAAUGGUUGCCAUCAACAGCAGCAGCCGUGGCUGGAUGAUGGUUGCUGUCCUGCAGCUUUCUGUUGUCCGCAGCAUCCUGUUCUUUGUCACUCUGGUCCUGUGGACAGAUGAACAGUACGACUAUGGUGAUGUAGAUUCAGUCAACCCCAACUUGUAUGUGAACGCUAUCAUAGGCGUGUCAACGUUUGUGUCCUUCUACGGCCAUCUUCUGUUUUAUAAAGCCACCAACAGUGCUUUACAAGGCUAUGGACUGAGAGCUAAGUUCAUCUGCAUCAUUGUGGGGCUAGUGCUGUGUGGACUGCAAAGCGGCAUCUUAGAGACCAUGGGUGCUCUGGAGGUUAUCCCCUGCACACCACCCUUCUCUGUCCUGGCCAGGUCACAGUGUAAGUCACAGCACAUCCAUCCUCCUCAGUCUAAGUUGCAAAUGAUGUUCACAGUUCCGUCUGUAAUUCAUUCGGUUGACAUCACAGUCCAGUUUGUACAAAACCAAGUCAGUUUCAAACACAAGAAAGCAAGUUUUUGAUUUGCUCUGAUAAUUCACCUUGACAGCAAUUGUCGAGGUGAGGUGAACAGGUGUAUUGAAGCCCAAGUGCUAAAAAAACACAAGAUAAGAUAGACAGUAUGUAGUGCGGUCAGACAGACAGUAUGCAAAAACAAAAGGUAUGUAUAAGUUACAAUAAAAAAAUAAUAGCAAAGCCAAUCACAGUAACUGAGCGAUAUACUAAAGUGCAUAUGCUAAACUAUAUAUUUGUCCCGCUGAUGUAUGUUUGUGGACAUACUGUAUAUGUCAUUGGGGCCUGCAGUCACUGAAAAUCGCUUAAUACUUUUGAAAAAGUAGAUGACCGAACUAAAGUAGAAGAAUUUGUACAAUUGUACAAGAGAAAAAUUAUAAUUUAAUUAAAAACUCAUGAAUAAUGAAAAUUUCUUUACCAAUUCAUAUUCAGUAUUGCCACUUUGAUUCUGUCUCUGCCCCUCAGAUCUGUGUCUUUUGUUCUCCUUCUGAUCUCAGUGAUCUACCACUACUGUGUGAUUGUUGAGAUGUUCUGCAUUGGUCUCUAUGCCUGCCAUACAUUUCGCAAAGUGGAGCCAAGCAUGAUGGCAGAUGUGGGUGUGAAUGUCUGGCAGGUGGAAAAGGCUGUUCAAACAGAUGAUGAUAAGGUGACACAUCAUAAGCUUGGCCUGCUGUCGGAAGAGGCUCGGCCCACCAGCUGUCUCUUCACCAUCUCCAAUACCACUUACAACAGUGACAGCGAGGACAGCCUGUGCAGGAUAGAACAUGCACCUCUGGAUGGUUUCCUCUUUCCUCAGGCCAGAGGUCAGCGGCAAUGCAGACCAGAAACAGUGGAGCCCAGGUCUGCAGAGGACCCUAGUGUAGACCUGACACACAUUACUGUCCGGGCUGAUAUCAACUAUAAAGACUGUAAGGAUGUCACUGUAGUUUGAUCAACAACAGAAAGUCUUUAACCAAAGAAUAGAAAACACUGAGGCUAAAUUAGGAAUACAUAGAUUGUGAUUAGCUUGUGAUUUAAAAAAAACAAUUGUGUAAUGAUUUUGCUGUCUUUAGCAGUUGUGCACUGAAGAAGAAAAGGUGUGCAGAAAAAUAAGAAGAUUUGUGAUCAAUUUGUAAAUAAAAAACAAUCUUAAGUCAAAAUUAUUAAAAGAAGAAUAAAAAGUUAG